rnacentral:lncRNA from 1 species
GUUCCUCAGUUGCAGUGAGAUGUGAGGCACUUGCAGAGACUCAGUCCACCACCCUGGGCAGCUUUCACCACCCUGGGCAGCUUUUCCGAGACGUAGGGACUGGCUUGCCGUAAUUCAUAGCUUCUGCUGUCCCUUGCUACAUACCUUAUGUUUCAGGCUUCGUAUUAAGUGUCAAAGAUCCCAUGACAAGACAGCUCCCCUGCUUGCUGGGAGGACGUGGUGAGGACAGGGUACAUCUGAAACCUCUGGUGUGUCUGGCAGAGUUGCAAACGACUAGAUUCCAUCCAAGAUCAAAUGAAUCAGAAUCUGUGGAGAAAUUCAAGCCAGCUGCAGAAAUUUGCUUGAGUAGCAAGGAGCCCAAUGUUAAUCCUCAAGACCAUAGGGAAAAUGUCUCCAGGCCAUGUCAGAGACCUUCAUGGCAGCCCCUCCCACCAUAGGCCCAGAGGCCCAGGAGGAAAAAGUGGUUUCAUGGGCCAGGUCCAGGGUCCUUGUGCUGUGUGCAGCCUUAGGACUUGGUGCCCUGUGUCCCAGCCAUUCCAGCCGUGGCUGAAGGGGCCAAUGUAGAGCUCAGGCCAUGGCUUCAGAGGGUGGAAGCCCCAAACCUUGACAGCUUCCACGUGGUGUUGAGCCUUAGGUUGCACAGAAGUCAAGAAUUGAGGUUUGGGAAACUCCAACUGGAUUUCAGAAAAUGUAUGGAUGCCCAGGCAAAAGUUUGCUGCAGGGGCAGGGCCCUCAUGGAGAACCUUUGCUAGAGCAAACUGGAAGGAAGGAAAAUGUGGGUUUGGAGCCCCCACACAGAGUUCCUAGUGGGCACUGCCUAGUGCAGCUAUGAGAAGAGGGCCACCAUCUUUCAGACCCCAGAAUGGUAGAUCCACUGACAGCUUGCACUGUGUUGCUGGAAAAGCUGCAGACACUCAAUGCCAGCCUGUGAAAGCAGCUGGGUGAGGGCUGAAUCCUACAAAGCCAUAGGGGCAGAGCUGCCCAAGACCAUGGGAACCCAUCUCUUGCAUCAGUGUGAUGUGGCUGUGAGACCUGGAGUCAAAGGAGAUCAUUUUGGAGCUUUAAAAUUUGACUGCCUCACUGAACUUCAGACUUGCAUGGGCCCUAUAACCCCUUUGUUUUGGCCUAUCUCUCUUUCGGAAUGGCUGUAUUUACCCAAUACCUGUACUUCCAUUGUAUCUAGGAAGUAACUAGCUUUCUUUUGAUUUUACAGGCUCAUAGGUAGAAGGGACUUGCCUUGUCUCAGAUGAGACUUUUGACUGGAUUUUUGGGUUAAUGCUGAAAUGAGUUAAGAUUUUGGGGGACUGUUGGGAAGGCAUGAUUAGUUUUGAAAAGUGAGGACACGAGAUUUGGAGGGGCCAGGGGCAGAAUGAUGUGGUUUGGCUGUGUCCCCACCCAAAUCUCAACUUGAAUUUUAUCUCCCAGAAUUCCCACAUGUUGUGGGAGGGGUCCAGGGGGAGGUAAUUGAAUCAUGGGGGCCAGGCCUUCCCAUGCUAUUCUUGUGAUAGUGAAUAAGUCUCACGAGAUCUAAUGGGUUUAUCAGGGGUUUCCGCUUUUGCUUCUUCCUCAUUUUUCUCUUGCCACCACCAUAUAAAAAGUGCCUUUCACCUCCUGCCAUGAUUCUGACACCUCCCCAGCCAUGUGGAACUGUAAGUGCAAUUAAACCUCUUUUGGUUCCCAGUUUUGAGUGUGUCUUUAUCAGCAGUGUGAAAAUGAACUAAUAUACCAAGCUAUCACAUCACUGAGUGUGAUGGGCCAUCAGCACUGCUGUGAUGUCCUGCAAAAGUGGAAUUAUUUCUUGACUUGACCUCACUCUUAUGUACUUGAGAAGCUGAGUUCUCUUCUCGCAUGUUCUAAUAAACAAGUCUUAUAAGUCUGGCUCUGGUUAGCCCACAUGUUGAACCUCUUACUUGCAACCCCACUGAUGUGUCUCCCCUAUGCCUGGACAUAAGAGCCUCUCAAUCUCACAUUCAUCCAACAGCAUCUCUAGGUGUAUACUCACUUGUAGCCAAAGUAAAUUUUACACCAUGAUAAAAAUUAGUGUAAAGACUUUACAGGGAACCAAAGUGCCUGGGAAUUCUGAUGAGUAACUACUGAGUGGUUUUUUUUAAUCUCUUUAUUCAAUAGACGUAAAAGUUUAACAAUUGAAGAUUUUAGGUGCCUCGCUUUUACAUUAUGAUUUUUAACUAGUGCAUGCACAAAUAUGCUUUGGCACACAAUACCCUUUCCAGAGCCAUCAAGAUUUAAGUCAUAUUUUUAAGGACAGUGUUAAAAUGUUUACAGGUUUAUGACCCAUAAGUAUCUGGUUUAACUACUCUGUGCUGCAACCAUUUUUAUAAUUAUUUUCUCUUUCACAACUUUUACAGUAAUUUUAUAUUCAUCCUUGGAGAUGCCACAUUGUGUUUUCUUUUGGCUUACUAAGUGGACAUCACAAUCGGUUAAAAAUUUGCCAUUUGUGUGUAUCAGGGCAUAGAAGGUGGAGGAUAAUAGUGGGGGUUGUAAAUGUAUUGGAUAAAUUAUAUGGUACAAUAUGUUAGUGUUCAUUUAUAUCCAUCUAAUAUGAGCUUAUAUGUCACCCAAAGGUAGCCCCAGUUAGGCUGUGAAUACUGUGGCCCAGUAUCAAAGUGAUCGUAAGUUAUUCCUAGAAGAGCGUGUCCCUGCCAAACACAUAUCAGGGCUUCACAGUUUUGACCUUAUUUCAUGUGGUCCCUCUUGCAGCUAGAGUCUGGCACAGAAGGCAGGACUUCCAGCUGGUACUUUAGGUACAUUGGGGCACUAGAGAUAAUGAAUGCACUUGACAUUUACAGUUGGGUCUAAAUUCACAACUGUGUCAGAUAACAAGAGCUGGAUUAACGAGUGGCCAGUAUGCAGAGAUACAGACCAUCUCAAUGGAGACCUCCCUGGAGUAUCAAGACUUACAAAGAGAGAUGAACACAUUGGAAGCCAAGAAUGGUUUAUGGAUUAUAUUUGCUAAAUGUGUGCAAUCCUCAACAGGAAAACCACAGCCAGGUAUCCAAAGCAGAACUGGAGUGUGCUUAUAUGUGUCAGGGGAAGAGGUUUUUAUGUCUAAUAGGCACAGCUAGUUUAAUAUGAAACUUGCACUGACAGUUUAUACCUAACUCGACUCAAGACUUUCAUAGUUAUCUGUAAAGCCAAAUACUAGAUUUGACUGGCUAUUAAAUAAGCAUGGCAGAAUUGUGAAGACAGUAUUAUACGACUAUGAAGCGAAUUAAACCCUUCUUAUCACCCCUCUCCAAAAUCAGAAGAAAAAAUAUUCUUU